rnacentral:rRNA from 1 species
GAUGAACGCUGGCGGCGUGCCUAAUACAUGCAAGUCGAGCGAACAGACGAGGAGCUUGCUCCUUUGACGUUAGCGGCGGACGGGUGAGUAACACGUAGGUAACCUACCUAUAAGACUGGGAUAACUUCGGGAAACCGGAGCUAAUACCGGAUAAUAUUUCGAACCGCAUGGUUCGAUAGUGAAAGAUGGCUUUGCUAUCACUUAUAGAUGGACCUGCGCCGUAUUAGCUAGUUGGUAGGUAACGGCUUACCAAGGCAACGAUACGUAGCCGACCUGAGAGGGUGAUCGGCCACACUGGAACUGAGACACGGUCCAGACUCCUACGGGAGGCAGCAGUAGGGAAUCUUCCGCAAUGGGCGAAAGCCUGACGGAGCAACGCCGCGUGAGUGAUGAAGGUCUUCGGAUCGUAAAACUCUGUUAUUAGGGAAGAACAAACGUGUAAGUAACUGUGCACGUCUUGACGGUACCUAAUCAGAAAGCCACGGCUAACUACGUG